ensembl:lncRNA
CUAGUGGUUAGAGUGUAGAGGUGGCAGGGUAGCCUAGUGGUUAGAGUGUAGAGGAGGCAGGUAGUCUAGUGGUUAGGGCGUAGAGGUGGCAGGGUGGCCUAGUGGUUAGAGCGUAGAGGUGGCAGUGUAGCCUAGUGGUUAGAGUGUAGAGGUGGCAGGGUAGCCUAGUGGUUAGAGCGUAGAGGUGGCAGGGUAGCCUAGUGGUUAGAGCGUAGAGGUGGCAGGGUAGCCUAGUGGUUAGAGUGUAGAGGCGGCAGGGUAGCCUAGUGGUUAGAGCGUAGAGGCGGCAGGGUAGCCUAGUGGUUAGAGUGUAGAGGCGGCAGGGUAGCCUAGUGGUUAGAGUGUGGAGGUGGCAGGGUAGCCUAGUGGUUAGAGUGUAGAGGUGGCAGGGUAGCCUAGUGGUUAGAGUGUAGAGGUGGCAGGGUAGCCUAGUGGUUAGAGCGUUGGACUAGUAACCCGAAAGGUUGCACAAUUGAAUCCCCGUAGCUGACAAGGUACAAAUCUGUCG